GACGAACCGUGCAAACGUUGUUCGGAAUCACUGGGCUUAAAGGGCGCGUAGGCGGGCGGCCAAGUCAGGGGUGAAAUCUUUCGGCUCAACCGGAAAAUUGCCUUUGAAACUGGCGGUCUCGAGGGAGGUAGGGGCAUGUGGAACUUCCGGUGGAGCGGUGAAAUGCGUUGAUAUCGGAAGGAACGCCGGUGGCGAAAGCGACGUGCUGGACCUCUUCUGACGCUGAGGCGCGAAAGCUAGGGGAGCGAACGGG
rnacentral:rRNA from 1 species